rnacentral:misc_RNA from 1 species
UGUUCGAGCGUCAUCUACACCUUCGAGCCCUGCUCGGUGUUGGGUGUCUGUCUGUCCUGCAGACUCACCUCAAAUCCAUUGGCGGUGGCCCGCCUAGCUUCCUGUGCAGCGCAUGCAACUUGCGAGCUGUCGCGGGCCCACAUCCACCAAGACCAUCGCGAUUUGACCUCGAAUCAGGUAGGGAUACCCGCUGAACUUAA